rnacentral:rRNA from 1 species
UAGGGAAUCUUCGGCAAUGGACGAAAGUCUGACCGAGCAACGCCGCGUGAGUGAAGAAGGUUUUCGGAUCGUAAAACUCUGUUGUUAGAGAAGAACAAGGACGUUAGUAACUGAACGUCCCCUGACGGUAUCUAACCAGAAAGCCACGGCUAACUACGUGCCAGCAGCCGCGGUAAUACGUAGGUGGCAAGCGUUGUCCGGAUUUAUUGGGCGUAAAGCGAGCGCAGGCGGUUUCUUAAGUAUGAUGUGAAAGCCCCCGGCUCAACCGGGGAGGGUCAUUGGAAACUGGGAGACUUGAGUGAAGAAGAGGAGAGUGGAAUUCCAUGUGUAGCGGUGAAAUGCGUAGAUAUAUGGAGGAACAGCAGUGGCGAAGGCGGCUCGCUGGACUGUAACUGACGCUGAGGCUCGAAAGCGUGGGGAGCAAACAGG